rnacentral:rRNA from 1 species
UACGUAGGGGGCGAGCGUUGUCCGGAAUUACUGGGCGUAAAGCGUGCGUAGGUGGUGAGUUAAGUCUGUCGUGAAAGCCCCGGGCUCAACCUGGGGAUGGCGAUGGAUACUGGCUCGCUAGAGUGCGGUAGAGGAGAGUGGAAUUCCCGGUGUAGUGGUGAAAUGCGUAGAUAUCGGGAGGAACACCAGUAGCGAAGGCGACUACCUGGCCUGUUCUUGACGCUGAGGCGCGAAAGCUAGGGUAGCAAACGGG